UCUCCGGUGGUUCAGUGGUUAGGACUCUGCGCUUUCAUUGCUGUGGGCCUGGGUUCAAUCCCUGGUCACAGAA
rnacentral:tRNA from 1 species